rnacentral:lncRNA from 1 species
UUUUUUUUUUGGUCUUUUUGUCUUUUUGCCACUUCUUGGGCUGCUCCCUCGGCAUAUGGAGGUUCCCAGGCUAGGGGUCCAAUCGGAGCUGUAGCCGCUGGCCUACGCCAGAGCCACAGCAAUGCGGGAUCCGAGCCGCGUCUGCAACCUACACCACAGCUCACGGCAACGCCGGAUCGUUAACCCACUGAGCAAGGGCAGGGACCGACCUGCAACCUCAUGGUUCCUAGUCGGAUUCGUUAACCACUGCGCCAUGACAGGAACUCCAAAAUUGUGCACUUCUCUUGGGGAUUACAGUAUCAGCUGCAAUCAUGUACCUUGGCAACGCAGAUCAGCUGGACUCACCAAAGCAUUAACUGUUUGGUCCUAGCUGACUUUUUCCCUCUCCUAAGAGACUCUGCUCACUCUCCCAGGAGGCACUUCAGUAUGUUUACCCCUGACCAUUACAAGUGAAAUUCAUGCACACUGGCCACCACAUCCAUCCGAGCCAGUCCAGUUGCUAGAGCUCAACUAUGUCCACAUCCUCCAUGUAGCCCUUCUAACUUCCUGAGCCCAUAGUGUUCCACCUGUUGCUACUCACGUAUUUAUAUGUCACUACUCAGGCACUGCUUUAUCAUAUUCUGCCUUAAGUUGUCAUAAUUUUUUAAAUGUGAUCAUAAUAAUUACAUGGUAUUGCUGAAAGUUUGGAAGCUAGAGAAACAAUCAUCUGUGAUAUUUUGAUAUAUUCCAUUUCUUUUUUUCAUAUGUAUGCUUGCCAUAGUUAUAACUAAAGGCAUAAAUACAAUUUUGCCUCCUGUUUCUUCCCCCACUAAACACAUAAAGAAAAAACUAUCCAUAAUUGAGGAUAAUGAACAACAUCGACGGGACAACAGGGAAGCAACUAACUCCGAAGCCUGAUUUUUUUUAAGGGUGGCAAUAUGCCCCGUUAAAAUAUUCUCUUCCUCAGACUUCAUGGUCUAGAGAGGCCGAAUAUCACAGUUCAGGAUAAUUAGAUAUACGCAGAUGGGUGAGGCUGCUGGGAAAGCUUUUUAAGACUCAGCUGGAGGGAGUUCCAGUUGUUGCUCAGGUGGUUAAGAACCCGACUAGUAUCCAUGAUGUGGUUGAUCCCCAGCCUCGCUCAGUGGGUUAAGGAUCUGGCACUGCCGCAACAUGCAGUGUAUGUCCCAGAUCUGGCGUGGAUCUGGUGUUGCUGUGGUUGUGGUGUAGGCAGGCAACUGCAGCUCCGAUUUGACCCCUAGCCUGGGACUUUCCAUAUAUUGCAGGUGUGGCCAUUAAAUUAAAAAAAAAAAAAAGACUCAGCUGCCAUAUCUUUUUUCCUUUCCUCUUGCCUAGAUAGAGGGUACAAGUCCCGGAGGCAGAACAGCCAUGCUAUGACCAUGAAGAAGAAAACCAUGCAGGUCCUGAUAACGUCCUCGAGCAGCUGUGCUUGUUUGGAUUAUCUUGUGUCUUCUUGUUACGGGAAGAAAAUCAGUCUCAUUUGGUUAAGUUACUGAGUUGCGUCCAUGCAACUGAAUGCAAUCCGAGCUAAUAUGAUAUUAUGUCCCUUUUCUUAAAGCAUAUUAGACAUUCUGAGAAGUCCUAUUUAGCUGUGUUUAACCUAACAUUGAUAUCAUUUGACUACAGAACACUUUGUCCUCAGAACACUUAGUAUAUCUCACUGAGCAUGAGUAUUCUGCAGAAGUUUGGAAAAUACUACUCAUUUUGCAUUGAUUCAGCACCCUGACCGUUGUAACCUUCUACCAAGAUAGGAAACCUAGGAGGAGUACAUGCUGGGGGGGGAGAGUGAGUUUCAUUUUACAUGUACUGAAUUUGAGAUGUCUGAGAGCAGCUGUCCAUCGAAAGCCCUGAAGCUCACAAGAGACAUUUAGAAACAAACAAGAUAUUGAAAUCCACCGUUCCUUGGGUUAAACUGUGAUUGGCUUUUUUUUUUUUUUUUUUGGCUUUUUGGGGCCACACCUUGGGCAUAUGGAGGGUUCCAGGCUAGGGGUCGAAUCAGAGCUACAGCUGUCAGUCUACACCACAGCCACAGCAAUGCAGGAUCCUAGCCACAGCUGCGACCUACACCACAGCUCACGGUGAUGCCAGAUCCUUAACAAGGCCAGGGAUUGAAACUGUGUCCUCGGGGAUGCAAGUCAGAGUCAUUUCCUGAGCCACAGCUGGAACUCUUUUUUUUUUUGGUACGUGUAAUUGUUAAGGUAGAAAACAUUCUACAAGCGUUUUUACCCGUGAGGAAAAUGACAGUCUCGUUUUGAAUCCCUUCUUUAACUGCCUUGCUAUGCCGCCUCUCUUGAACGAGGAGAUGGAAAGAAUACAGUGCUUCAAGUCAGACACACUGGAGUUCAAAUCCUGCUGUGUCCGUUUACUUAGCUAUGUGACCUUGGCUCAGGGAUUUUAACGUCUCUGAACUUCAAUUUUCUCAUCAAGGGGCUGACAGUCUAACCUUAGAGAGUUGCUGUGAGAAUUAUAAAAUACUCGACAUGGUGCCUGGUAAAUUUUAGCUGCUCCAUCUCCCUCUGGCUAGAAAAGAUACGGUGCUUCACACUGUCCUCUCCUGUGUGAUGCCUUUUAUAUAGCUAAAUAGCAUUUACAAUUAAGCCAUGGCAAUGAUUUAGUUUCUGCCUACUAAAUAUCCACAUGUAACUCGAAGAUAGAAUUUGAAGGCAGGUCAAAUGAAAUUGUAUGUACUUGAUGGAUUUGAAUUUUACUAUUUUAUAUAUUUAACAAAACAAAGCACCGCCUAUGUGUCUGGCUUUUUUCUACCACUUCCUAAAUGAGUUAAUAUUAACUCAUUUAACAUUUAUAAUAACCUUAUUAAUUAGAUACUGUUAUUAUUCCCAUAUGGAAGAAAAAGAAAUAGUUGCACCAGGAAGUUACAUACCUUGCCCACAGCCACACAGCUAGCAGGUGGAAAAGCCAGGCUUCAAAUCUGGGUAGUCAGAGCCCAUAGUUCAGGCUUCCAAUUACUAAACUACAAUAUAAAAGAUAUAAAUAAAUAAAAGGAAUUACUCUUCUUGCUGUCCUCU